rnacentral:ncRNA from 2 species
AGAGUUAAAAAGUAUGUGAAAUUGUUGAAAGGGAAACGAUUGAAGUCAGUCGUGCAGUCAUCAACUCAGCGGUAACAUAGCUGAAGUUUACCCGAUGGCGAGUGUCAAAACCGCCAUCCCGUAAACUUCAGCUGUGUUACCGUGUACUUUGUUGUCUGCUGGUUAGCAUCAAUUUUGAUUGUCAUAAAAAGGUUAAGGGGAUGUGGCUCCUUCGGGAGUGUUAUAACCCUUAGCGGAAUGUGGCGAUUGGGAUUGAGGAUUGCAACGAAUACCUUUAGGGCAGUUCCGUCUGGUCUCUUGUUGACGUUCAGAUGGCAACAGCUUGCUUUUGUUAUUUGAAUUAGUUAGCAAAUAGAUUAGAAUGUGAAUUAAUUCGUUAAGGAUGUUGACGUAAUGGCUUUAAACGACC